rnacentral:rRNA from 1 species
GGAGAGGGCUAGCGUUAUUCGGAAUUAUUGGGCGUAAAGGGCGCGUAGGCGGAUUAGUAAGUUAAAAGUGAAAUCCCAAGGCUCAACCUUGGAAUUGCUUUUAAAACUGCUAAUCUAGAGAUUGAAAGAGGAUAGAGGAAUUCCUAGUGUAGAGGUGAAAUUCGUAAAUAUUAGGAGGAACACCAGUGGCGAAGGCGUCUAUCUGGUUCAAAUCUGACGCUGAGGCGCGAUGGCGUGGGGAGCAAACAGGAUUAGAUACCCUGGUAGUCCACGCUGUAAACGAUGAAUGUUAAAUAUGGGGAGUUUACUUUCUGUAUUACAGCUAACGCGUUAAACAUUCCGCCUGGGGACUACGGUCGCAAGAUUAAAACUCAAAGGAAUUGACGGGGACCCGCACAAGCGGUGGAGCAUGUGGUUUAAUUCGAUGCAACGCGAAAAACCUUACCACUCCUUGACAUGGAAAUUAUACCUAUUCGAAGGGAUAGGGUCGGUUCGGCCGGGUUUCACACAGGUGU